rnacentral:misc_RNA from 1 species
UAACUGAUCAAAACCCAAUCCAAGUUAUCGUGGAUGCGGUGAUUAACAGGUGCAUUAUUUGGUUUUAUGCUGGAGUACAAUUGGAUGUUGGGUUUACUCUGGAUAUUUACAUUGCAUGAUGUCCCUGUUUUUGUAGGCAUUUGGAUUUUAUGUUUCCUACCUUUAUCUAUUUGACUCAAUUUUUUCUUUGUUUCGGUCAAUGUUGUAUUACUAAAGUGGGCCCCGGGAAGAUGCCACUCGAAU